rnacentral:rRNA from 1 species
UGAAUACGAGACGCUAAGGCGUCUAAGUAGUGUAUGUCAUACUUCCAAGAAAAGCUUGCACUGUCAUAGAUAAAAAACGCCUGUACCAUAACCGACACAGGUGGGUAGGUAGAGUAUACUAAGGGGCGCGAGAUAACUCUCUUUAAGGAACUCGGCAAAAUAACUCCGUAACUUCGGGAGAAGGAGUGCCUUAUUAUUAAGGCUGCAAUAACAAGAUCCAAGCAACUGUUUAUCAAAAACACAGGUCUCCGCUAAGUCGUAAGACGAUGUAUGGGGGCUGACGCCUGCCCAGUGCCAGAAGGUUAAAGAAGUUGGUUAGCAUUUGCGAAGCUGAUAACUGAAGCCCUGGUGAACGGCGGCCGUAACGAUAACGGUCCUAAGGUAGCGAAAUUCCUUGUCGGGUAAGUUCCGACCCGCACGAAAGGCGUAAUGAUUUGGAUACUGUCUCGGAGAGGGGCUCGGUGAAAUAGACUUGUCUGUGAAGAUGCGGACUACCUGCACCAGGACAGAAAGACCCUAUGAAGCUUUACUGUAACUUGAAAUUGAAAUUGGACUUUAUUCGCGCAGCAUAGGUGGGAGGCGUUGAUUAUAAUCUUGUGGGAUUAUUGGAGCCAUCAGUGAGAUACCACUCUUGUAAUGUUAGAUUUCUAACUUUGAAUCAUUAUCUGGUCAAAGAACAGUUUCAGGCGGGCAGUUUGACUGGGGCGGUCGCCUCCUAAACGGUAACGGAGGCGUACAAAGGUUUCCUCUGAACGGUUAGAAAUCGUAUCUAGAGUGUAAAGGCAUAAGGAAGCUUGACUGUGAGACCUACAAGUCGAGCAGGGACGAAAGUCGGUCUUAGUGAUCUGACGGUACUGAGUGGAAAGGCCGUCACUCAACGGAUAAAAGUUACUCUAGGAUAACAGGCUGAUCUCCCCCAAGAGUUCACAUCGACGGGGAGGUUUGGCACCUCGAUGUCGGCUCAUCGCAUCCUGGGGCGGUAGUACGUCCCAAGGGUUGGGCUGUUCGCCCAUGAAAGCGGUACGCGAGCAGGGUUCAGAACGUCGUGAGACAGUUCGGUCCAUAUCCGGUGUAGGCGUUGGAAUAUUGAGAGGAGCCUUCUUUAGUACGAGAGGACCGAGAAGGACAUACCUCUGGUGUACCAGUUAUCGUGCCAACGGUAAACGCUGGGUAGCUAUGUAUGGAGUGGAUAACCGCUGAAAGCAUCUAAGUGGGAAGCCCUCCUCAAGAUAAGUAUUC